rnacentral:rRNA from 1 species
GAGUUUGAUCCUGGCUCAGGACGAACGCUGGCGGCAUGCUUAACACAUGCAAGUCGAACGGCAGCACGUUGUGUAGCAAUACAUGAUGGUGGCGAGUGGCGGACGGGUGAGUAACGCGUAGGAAUCUGCCUUGAAGAGGGGGACAACCCGAGGAAACUCGGGCUAAUACCGCAUAAACUCGAGAGAGCGAAGCUGGGGCAACCUGGCGCUUCAAGAGGAGCCUGCGUCUGAUUAGCUAGUUGGUAGGGUAAAAGCCUACCAAGGCGAUGAUCGGUAGCUGGUCUGAGAGGGCGGACGGACACACUGGAACUGAGACACGGUCCAGACUCCUACGGGAGGCAGCAGUGGGGAAUUGUUCGCAAUGGGCGCAAGCCUGACGACGCAACGCCGCGUGGAGGAUGAAGA